UCCCCUCUGGAAACACGCUCCUGCACAUUCAAACAAGUUGAGUGCUGACUGAUGCAAGGCCAUAGAAGAAAAGCAUACGAAUAAUGGGAUUCUUCAACAUGGAUGGAUGCUCAAAGACGUCAAAGUCGCAAUUUAUUAAAUAAUCAAUCCAUUAAAGGAAAGCUUCAUUCAAGUGCUACUUGUUAGUGUGUGUGAAG